GCUUGGGUGUCGCCCCCAGGUCCUUGAAGGCAGGAGAAAGGAAAAGGACAGAAAGGCAGGUCCUGCCUUAGCACCGCGUGCUCUACGGACCACAGCCGAGCCAAAGCCCCACAAGGUCCGGCGCCGCUUCCCAGCGUCCCCCGAGCCCAGGAAGUCCCGCCCCCACGUGUUUCCUGGACCUAAGGCACCCCGGGAAACGUCGGCCUUCCUCCUACCCCGACCUCACUCACCCAAGUCGGAGCCGGGGUCCCUCACUGUCACAGUGCUGCGACUCCCGGCUUUAGGGAUCCUCACGCGGUUCCACGGCUCCGGCACCGGCCGCACGGCAGCAACCAUCUUGCACGUUACCUCCUGAGAGCUGGGCAUGGAUCAGUAAGAUCUCUCCACUGCAGCUGCCAGCAAGUCUGUGCCUGAUUUGGCAAGUUUCUGAAAAGGUACCAUGGCCUCCACCCACCAGGCUCUCUAAUGGAACAUAACACUGGAGAACUAUGCCAAGGGCAGAACUAAGCGUUUUAGUGUCUACUGCUGAACCCAGGAGCCAUCUUUUCUGCUGGAAGAAAAAGUUGGUACUGAGUUCCUUAAAGCACUUCAUUUAGGAGCUAAAUGGUAGAGAAAGAUUAUUUCUAUA